rnacentral:lncRNA from 1 species
CUACAACGCCGCCACGCCGGAGCGGCAAACACUUCUUAAGUCUUCUUAUUUUCCGAGUCCAAACUUCUUGGCCUCUUUCUCAGGAAAACUGCGACCAGGAUGUGGAAUAGCGGAUUCGAAAGCUUCAGCAGCUCCUCCUAUGGCGCAGCGGGCGGCUACACGCAGUCCCCCGGUGGCUUCGGGUCACCCACACCGUCGCAGGCAGAGAAGAAAUCAGUCACUAUUGUGGGAAUAAUCAGACAUGCAGAGAAAGCGCCAACCAACAUUGUCUACAAAAUAGACGACAUGACCGCAGCGCCCAUGGACGUUCGCCAGUGGGUUGACACAGAUGUAAGUGUCUGCUCCUGGAUCCAAGUGGGGCUUUGGAUGUUUUAGCCUUCUAAAGGUUUUCUUUGGUGUAAAAAUUCAUAAUCAAGGGCUGGAGAGAUGGCUCAGUGGUUAAGAGCACCCGACUACUCUUCCAGAGGUCCUGAGUUCAAUUCCCAGCAACCACAUGGUGGCUCACAACCAUCUGUAAAGAGAUCCGAUUCCCUCUUCUGGUGUAUCUGAAGACAGCUACAGUGUACUUAUAUAUAAUAAAUGAAUAAAUCUUUAAAAAAAAAUUCAUAAUCAAGAUACCAAAGGUUAAAAACCAAUAAAGUGAGAGCUUAAUAGAUUUGACCACAUAAAAAUUUAAAACCACCUAAAAUACUGUGUAAGAGAGUAGAAAGUAAAUUCUCUAAGAAAGAUUUUUCUCUUGGUUGCUCUCUUCCCCAUUACCUAGAGUGGUGCCCACCACACAGUGGCCUUGAGUAAGUAAAUACUGUUAAGUGAGUGGGAAGCGUACUUUGAUGGGUUCCAUCACUUUAUAAAGAGCUC